AACUCAUUUCCGGUUUUGCCACCAGGAGGCGCUCGCGAUGUUUUAGCAUCACUUUUGGGAAGCUGUUAACUUCAGUGAGGUACUAACUUUGCUUUAAAAAGGAAAAACUAGCGACUAUCACAUAACUUUUUAAUAAACAAAAGAAGUAUUUGAGGAGGAAAUAAUAACAGUUUGCUGCCACUAUUCAGGGAGAAGUUACCUCAUCAGGUGUUGAUGCUUACCGCUAAUUAAUUAACCGCUCUCUUCACCAAACGUCUGUAACCAUGGCAACUCUGUUCCCAAAGGAUUUAUUGUCGUUGAGAAACAACAUUAUGAAUCACCUCUUCACUUCUUCAGGAUCUGAGCCAACACGAUGGCGGUGAAUACAACACAGCACAAUGACAAAGAGCCAACAGAGCCGAGGGUCUAGGACACUUCUCAGAGGAUGAGUGGGAUAUUCGGCCGAAGCCUUGAAACUGCAUGGAUACAGGCCUGACGUUGACGUAUGUUACACCUGCAUCUGGCUCGCAUACAUCAUAAGAUAAGGGCCCUAUGGAAGUGAGUCAUCGCUCCUCUUCACCACGACUGCUGAUAUUGUCUGCCCCCCUACCGCCGCCGCCGCUGCCGCCCAUCGCCCACACCCUUUGCACAACUCUGUAUUCAUGGAGCUUGCGGCAGAGCUGAUAAGAGGAUGGCUGGAGGAGCGCCUGCCUACCUGCUCAAGCAAUGUCAUUU